rnacentral:rRNA from 1 species
GACAGAGGGUGCAAACGUUGUUCGGAAUUACUGGGCGUAAAGCGCGUGUAGGCGGCUCUGCAAGUCGGGUGUGAAAUCCCAUGGCUCAACCAUGGAAGUGCAUUCGAAACUGCAGGGCUAGAGUCCUGGAGAGGAAGGUGGAAUGCUUGGUGUAGAGGUGAAAUUCGUAGAUAUCAAGCGGAACACCGGUGGCGAAGGCGGCCUUCUGGACAGUGACUGACGCUGAGACGCGAAAGCGUGGGAGCAAACAGG